rnacentral:rRNA from 1 species
UCCAGACUCCUACGGGAGGCAGCAGUGGGGGAUAUUGCACAAUGGGGGAAACCCUGAUGCAGCGACGCCGCGUGAGUGAAGAAGUAUUUCGGUAUGUAAAGCUCUAUCAGCAGGGAAGAAAAAAGACGGUACCUGACUAAGAAGCCCCGGCUAACUACGUGCCAGCAGCCGCGGUAAUACGUAGGGGGCAAGCGUUAUCCGGAUUUACUGGGUGUAAAGGGAGCGUAGACGGCAAUACAAGUCGGAAGUGAAAUACCCGGGCUCAACCUGGGAACUGCUUUGGAAACUGUAUGGCUGGAGUGCUGGAGAGGUAAGCGGAAUUCCUAGUGUAGCGGUGAAAUGCGUAGAUAUUAGGAGGAACACCAGUGGCGAAGGCGGCUUACUGGACAGUAACUGACGUUGAGGCUCGAAAGCGUGGGGAGCAAACAGGAUUAGAUACCCCGGUAUC